rnacentral:rRNA from 1 species
UACGAAGGGGGCUAGCGUUGCUCGGAAUCACUGGGCGUAAAGGGUGCGUAGGCGGAUUUGUAAGUCAGGGGUGAAAUCCCGGGGCUCAACCUCGGAACUGCCUUUGAUACUGCAAGUCUUGAGUCCGAUAGAGGUGAGUGGAAUUCCUAGUGUAGAGGUGAAAUUCGUAGAUAUUAGGAAGAACACCAGUGGCGAAGGCGGCUCACUGGAUCGGUACUGACGCUGAGGUGCGAAAGCGUGGGGAGCAAACAGG